rnacentral:misc_RNA from 1 species
GAUGAAGAACGUAGCGAAAUGCGAUAAGUAAUGUGAAUUGCAGAAUUCAGUGAAUCAUCGAAUCUUUGAACGCACAUUGCGCUCGCCAGUAUUCUGGCGAGCAUGCCUGUUCGAGCGUCAUUUCAACCAUCAAGCUCUGCUUGCGUUGGGGAUCCGCGUCUGACGCGGUCCCUCAAAAACAGUCGGCGGGCUCGCUAGUCACACCGAGCGUAGUAACUCUACAUCGCUAUGGUCGUGCGGCGGGUUCUUGCCGUAAAACCCCCAAUUUUUUAAGGUUGACCUCGGAUCAGGUAGGAAUACCCGCUGAACUUAAGCAUAUCAAUAAGCGGAGGA